GGAGUUUGGGGCGUGUGUGUAGGAGUGGCUUCUUGAAUUUCGGUGUCCCCGGCUUGACGUCACUUUGCGCAUGCUCAGUUGAUUUGGUUCGUCCCCAGGCGCGGGAAAAUCUGUGAUGAAGAACCCGGAAACAACACGGACUGCUCCAUCUUGUUCACCUUCCUCCAUCUUGUCCCUUCUCCCUCACCCAAACAGCCAGUACCACUUUCAUUGGUGCUGAGAAAUGGAGCUGAACCCUACUUCCAUUUUUUUCUGCUGGAGAUGGAGGCCACGGUCCUGCUGUAAUUUUCCAAGCUGCAGUCGUCGGCCUCUCUAGGGCCCUUGAACUGAACACUUAUUCUUUUAAAAAUCAUCAACACGGGAUCUGUUGCCAAGAAGAGAAGCCAAUUCUUGUCUCCAUGCUCUAGGAAGUGUUUUCUUUGUAGUACUGUUGGCAUGGAGGUGAAGAGCCUGGAACUCGAUACUGAAAUCUCAGCAAGAGAGCUGCCAUUGGGUACAGUUUGUUUUGGAAUUAAAGCAAAUAUAUCCAGAAAUUGUACUCAGGAUAUUCAAAUAACAGUGACGGAGGCAGUGAAGGAACUUCAGUAUAGGAGAUGGCAUCUCAUUUCUUCACUGUUCUCACAAAGGUGACCAGCUGUGUGACAAAUCCUUGGAAUCUGGAGCUGACCCCUGAGGGAAUAGUACCAGGAAAUUAUGUUUUGGCUUCACUUCUGAAUCAACAAUGAUGGUCGCCAUCUGCAGAGGAUGAGGGAGAAGGAACAGUUUAGCAUGAGUAUCAGCAUUUCUGAGAGUUCAGUUUCUUUGAAAACCACAGAAGGGAAAAUGCAGUGGAGAACUUGUGAACAACUGGGUCAGGAAAAACUGCGGCUGCUUUUCAGGGCUCUGAUCUAGGAACCCCAGAUGCAAAGACAUGCUGGCGUCCUCUUGCUCAGCCAUUCACCAGGAAACAGGGCUGCUGCUCAGUGAAUACUGCAGAACUAUAGACCAGAGACUCAGAGCCGGAAAGGAGAAGUAAGCAAAACAUUUGCGCGAGCCUGCUCCGGAGAGGAUGAGGGACUCGAGUUUUGGAAAGAAUCGGGGGCUAGGAUCCGGCACACCAGGCUUUCAGCGUGGACUCCUACACUUAACAAUUUUGAAACGUUAAGAGACACAGCAAGACACCCCCACUUCCUCUUAGGAAGGAAAUAAGCUUGCCUAUUGCAGGUUCAGCUGCAACAUCAGCACCUAAAGCAGCAAGUGCAGAUGUACAAAAUGAGCCUCUGAAGGACCCACAGGACUUGUGAGACUGCAGUGCAGCUUACAUUCAUUUCCAUAUCUGGAGAGAAAAAAGGUUUCCAUUAGGCACCCAGUGUCUACAAUGGACAUGAAGAAGAGUCUCACAGGCAUGCAUUGCUACCAUCCCUCUAGAGAAGAGACGCACAUUGGCCGAGGGACUCCUGAGCACCUGACUUCCUUGUGGCUAUAUACCAGCUAGGAAGAGGACCCUCAUCAGGAUAUGAUUAAGGUUGCCGAAGACCUUGAUCUUGGACUUCUCAUCCUCCAGAACUGUGAGAAAUAUAUUUCUGUUUUCUAAGCCCACCAUACAUGAUAUUUUGUUAUGAUACACCAAGGUGAUUAAGACAAGGUGGUUAUGAAUACACAUGCCAUUAUACUGGGAACAGCUUGUACUGUGGAUGAGCAAAUUGCAAUUUAAUCUUAGACUAGGUGCAUUGCUCUCUGUGCCUCAGUGUUCUCUUCUGUACAAUGGGUAUAAUAACAAAACUCACAUCAAAGGAUUGUAGUGAGGAUGAAGUAAAAUAGUAUGGGUAAAUUUGCUUAGAUUGCUUAGAACAAUGGCUGGUACUUAGUUAGCAUGCCAUAACUAUCAGUUAUCAUUGUUAUGACCUAUAGAUAUUCCUACAGAAAGCUAGAAUACAAUCAUUUAAUGCAAGAAAAGCCAUUUAAGGAUGGCAAUGCUUUUAUUUUUUCUUCCUUGACUAUUCAACAGAUCUCUAUUGACACACACUACAUGCUGUGCACUGUUUUAACUGCUGGAUACGGAGCAGAGAAAAGCCCAACAAAGCCAUGUCCCAUGGGCAGAGGCUUAUACUUUAGUGGAGCAACAAGCAAUAUGAAAACCUAAGUACAAUGAGAAAAAAGGGGUAAAAAGUGUCAGCUGGAGGGUCCCAUUCUUUCUGGUCCUGGAAGGACAGGUCUGGUGAGCCGGGAGCCCCUGGGAAAGGCAGCUGCUCCACAGGGGAGGCGGGCACACUGCUCCAAGGAUACUGAUGAAUUCUAAAGUAUUAAAAGUGAGUCAGAAAGAAAGGGGAACAAGACAAACAAAAGCCCCAAACAGUCAUGGACUUGGUAUGUGUUUCUGUCCCAGUGAGGGCCUGACUGAGUAGAUAAAGCUCCAUAAAACGGGGAAGGACCUUUGCUCUUUUCCUCUCUGAAUCCCCACUACCUAAAAGUGUAUGUGCAACACAGUGGCUGCUCAAUUAAAAUUUGUUGCCUGAAUGAAUGGAAGAUGGAGCUUUGAAAGUUUCUAAAGAAUUUGGAAUUUUUCCUUAGAGCAAUUAGUGCCACUACAAUCUUUUGAAUAGUAGAGGGACAGAACAUACAGGGUUUUAAUUAGACUAACCCCAAGAGGUGUGAAGAAUGGAUUUACCAGGGGCAGAGAGACCAAGGGUAUGGAAGCUGUUACUGUUAUUCUUUUGCAGGAAGAUAGGACUAGGAUUGGGGUGGAGGCAGGAGAAAUACGGGGAACGGGUGGGCAGAAGGCACGUUGUGAAAGGGUACAUACCUGUGGUCUGGUUGCACCAGGCUGACCAGGAAAGCCAAGUUUAAAGUGGCAGCAAAGCUGAAGACAGGCCAAGUCAACACAUAGGCUGAGGGAGAGGCCAUGGAGGUGUUCUGGUGUAAGGCGGGAGGCAGAUCCCUACCACUGAUAACACCGCAUCCCUUGGUUGUUCUGUUGGAGGUGAUGAGUUGGGUUGAUGACGGGUACCUGGCAGGUGCUCAGCUGGUGCACACCAGUGAGGCUGUGCUGAUGGCUUAAGGGGAGCUCGUGCCUUUUGCUGUGGUCACUGCCCUGGCUGGGGAUGCUCCUGCCCUUGCAAGGAGUACAAAGUUUUGAUGCUAUCCCUGACUGUGCUGACGUCUUCACUUUCCGUCAACCACUUGCUCAAGGUACACAUAUCACUGUCUCCAAUCUGACAGGUGUUAAUUAUGAUUUGUGCUGAGAAGAAAGCAACAGAAUAUGCCUCUACUGAUAUGUACCAAAUAUAUCUGUCUUUCUGGGUACUGACAUGCACUGGAUAAGAAAAAGGCUCUCAGGUUGGGGGUGGUUGGAAAGUAAAAGGAUAAAGAAUAGGCAUCUUGAAGAUACACUACCUUGAAGUGUAUCACUUCUUGAAGAUACACUAAAGCCAUUUGGAGACAGAAUGGCUGGAAAGAACCUAAAGAAGAAAACAACACACAAAAGGGAGAGAGUUAAUAUUUGUUUUAUUGGGAGAAGUUUCAGAGUCUGGCUACAAGAGAGAAUGCAAACAAAUGUGAGAGGGUGUUUAAUCUGCCCAUAUCAUCAGACCCACAGGAUCAUUAGUAGUUACAAAUGCUAAUGAUACAAAUCCACCUAAGAAAACCAUGUUUUUAAAAAUAGACAGUAGUGUAGUGCCUGGUGUGUACAUAUAUUUUGCAUCAUCUUGAGAACAUAUGAAAAUUUUCUACUGAAUAAUCCCAAGUGGGCAGACAAGGUCAUGCAUUAAUUUAUUAUUUCAACAAAUAUUUGGUACCUCCUCUGAGUGAGGUGAUAUGCCAGGCCCUGGGAAGACAUUACAGGCAAAACACAGUUUCUGCCUCAUCGAACCUAUAGUUGAGUGGGGCAGAAGUCACAGCCCAAGAGGAUGAUGUUUCUUUGAAGUAUGAAUUUGCUUUUAUAAAUUCACAUAAAUACAAAGUAUAUCUGUGUUUGCUCUAAAAUGCAUUGCUUUAAAUUAAUGUAUACUCGGUGCAACUCUCCAUUCAAAAACUCAUGUUAUACCAGAAGAAACGGCAAUAUAUUUUCUAUGAGCUAAUUUAAAUGGUAUUUGGAGCCCCUUCCUGCAUAGCUGACUGAUAUAGUCUGACUCUGUGUCCCCACCCAAAUCUCAUCUUGAAUUGUAAUCCAAAUUGUAAUCCCCAUGUGUUGGGGGAGGGACCUUGUGAGAGGUGAUUAGACGGUGGGGGCAGUCCCCCCAUGCUGUUCUUGUGAUAGUGAGUGUGUUCUCAUGAGAUCUGAUGGUUUUAUAAGAGGGUUUCCCUUUUUCGCUCGGCCCUUCUCAUUCCUGCCACCAUGUGAAGAAGAACGUGUUUGCUUCCCUUUCUGCCAUGAUUGUAAGUUUCUUGAGGUCUCCCUAGCCAUGCUGAACUACGAAUCAAUUAAAUCUCUUUCCUUUGUAAAUUACCUAGUCUCAGUAAAUUCUUUACAGCAGUAUUAGAACAAACUAAUACCCUCGCAGGACAAUUUGACCUCAGUAUAUCUUGACUUUCCCCUUCCCUCUUCCAAGACCUGUAUUCAGCGGGCCUAAGGAAGGUCAAGACCUUGGAAGUGGGAAGCCCUGUUUAACUGUUUCUUCCAAGACAGUUCUCUCCAGCUCACUGUGCCCACAGGAUAGGCACUGCUGACUCUGGGGCUCCCCUACUGUACUUGGUGCAUGAGGGUCUUCUCCAGGCUGCUCAUGGUUCCUCCAACUGUUACUAUCCCCAAUCUGGGCUCUUGCCAGCCCCAAAGAUCUGCCUCUUGACAAGUAUCCAUUGCUCCAAGAUCCGGAGAACUCCAUUCUUACCAGCCUGCCUCCAGCCAUCCUUGACCAUCUCUUUCUCGUCUUGAGAAAAUCUUUCGCUCUUCAUGAUUUUUGCAAGGAUAUUUUGCCUGCAACGAACGCUGUGAGGUAAUUUUAGAAACACAAUACUAAGCUUUUUGCUGGGACAGGACUUUAUGGAGCCCUUGAGGAAAUAGGCUCAGCCCAUGCUACUGGCUUCAACAGAGAGAAGAAAAGGGAUCUAAUAUGCAGGGAAAGAAAAUACAAGUGAAUAUCUUAUCUAAAAAAAAUUCCCAGCAUAAAUGUUUUAUUUUCCUCAAAUCAUCUAGGAUACUAUUAUGUUUAACUUUUGGCCUUAAUCCUUCAGAUGUCACAAUAAUUAAAUUUCUCUUACUUAACAAAUAUUUUCUGAGCACCUCUUAUGUGCCAGGGACAUUGUGAAUACAGUGGGCAAAAAUUCCUGGUGCUCAGGGCUUGCGUCCUAGAGCUGAGCUAAGGGACUGAAGGCAAGAAGGCUCUCAAGGCAUCCCCACUUCUAAUGUCAUUAUCCGGUUGCUCAUGGAACUUCAAAGGUUUUAUGAGGUUGAGCAGAAACCAAACAUGGUCCACUUUACUGGCUGAUUUUUCAGUCCAUUAAAUGAGAUUUUUAAGUAGUAUAAUAAUUGCUUGGUCACCCGACAUUAGUCAUAAAAGUACAUUUGAAGAGGGGUCAGACCACAGACCACUUUUUAAAAGACCCUCCUUUACAAAAUUUUUUUUAUUAGAAGACUUUUACUGCGAAAUCAUAGGGAAAUAUUUCUUCGGUCCAAGAGAAUUGUCUUUCUGCUCUUUCUUCCCCCCAGCCUAGAGGCCACCUACUUCAGAUUCCCUUCGCAGUGUUUGU